GUCAGCAUGGCCACAUGUCUGUCUUGUCUCCAACACCAACUGGUCGAUCUGUACUCAAUGACAGCACUUUUUAAUUUAAUGCUCCCAUUGAGACAAUUUUUGAGGCUCCAUGUAAAAGUUAUCACACAGCCGUAAAAAUCCACAGCAGCCCUGGAAAUGUGUGUGAGGGUCAGGCUUACAGUUUCUGUUUGAGCUUCAAUUUCAUUAGGAAGACGAGGAGUCAGAGAAAGCAAACUGGUGCUUCUAAGCUACUACUUGAGCCUGGCAUGAAGGAGACAGCAUCUAUAUCCUGUGCCAUUAACACAGCAAGUGAGGAGGAAGCAGUGAAGGAGAGACAGAGGUGGGGUCAUGCAGAUCUGCUCUCCCAGGGUUAUGGCCCACACUUCAGUUUCUGGUUUGCCACUCACUACCCAAGCUGGUCUAUAAUUGAACUGGAAGAUCAUGGAUUUGGCUAAGGUAACUGGCCAUUGAGAUUUAAAGCUUACUCUCCCCACAAAACAAAACAAACCCAAAAGGCAAAAAGCCCUGCUAUUGUGGGCAUAAGCCAGUGUGUCCAUCUGAGACCUGAUCUGGGGCCCCUGUGUCUGCACAUCAGCACCUUACUGACUGAUCCACACCCCAGCCCCUUCACACAGGCCUUCAAUUACUCACUAAGAAA
rnacentral:lncRNA from 1 species